ACCGCGUGUGCGAUGAAGGCCUUCGGGUUGUAAAGCACUUUUCGAGAGGAAGAGGAAGGACGGUACUCUCGGAAUAAGUCUCGGCUAACUACGUGCCAGCAGCCGCGGUAAAACGUAGGAGGCGAACGUUAUCCGGAUUUACUGGGCGUAAAGCGCGUGUAGGUGGUUUGGUAAGUAGGGCGUGAAAGCUCCUGGCUCAACUAGGAGAGGUCGUUCUAAACUGCCAGACUUGAGGAUGGUAGAGGGAGGUGGAAUUCCGGGUGUAGUAGUGAAAUGCGCAGAUAUUCGGAGGAACACCAGUGGCGAAAGCGGCCUCCUGGACCACACCUGACACUCAGACGCGAAAGCUAGGGUAGCAAACGGGAUUAGAGACCCCGGUAGUCCUAGCCGUAAACGAUGUAGACUUGACGUUGGUGGUUUAAUAUCCAUCAGUGUCGUAGCUAACGCGAUAAGUCUACCGCCUGGGGACUACGGCCGCAAGGUUAAAACUCAAAGGAAUU
rnacentral:rRNA from 1 species